UGCCAUCUGUGGCUUUCUCUAUCGCACAGACACAGAAAAUGUCAAUUUCACAUCAGACUCACUUUGCUUUCUCUUGAUUUUUAACAGAAACAGUGCAUGUGUCAGUGUGGAUGUAUUUUGGUGUUUUCUCAGAAGUAGCAUUGUUCUACUUCUGCAGAACCUCACCGGUGUGAGGAAUUAGACAUCAGGAGCACCUGUGACAUCCAGAAAAACCUCCGGAUCAAAGCUACUGUAUGAGAACUACAUGCAGCUCAUAUGAAUUAAACAGCCGAUCGGUUUUAUUAGAAGCUUAAUGACUGACAGGGCAAUGAGACGGCAGUCUUUGAUUUUCAACACAAAACAUCAGGGAAUUUACAAGAAACAUCUGAGAGUGUUCUGAUACUGAACUGAAAGAUAAUUGAGAGCUUGAUUAAGUUCCUCAGGCGAUGAAAGAGUGACAUCUGAGCAAUGACAUUUUCAUCUGCACAGCUUUGAAGUAAAACCAUAAAUCCAGCCUGGACGAGAAAUGUGUUUUUAGGGUUGUGUCUCAUGAACACAUGUCUCAUCUCAGAGGAAACCAGGGGAUUUGAAGAACCAUCUGUUUGCCAAAGCUUUUGGGAGGCACUAAUAUGGAUUUAGGAUAUUGCUCUCUGCAGGUGGGAAGAGAAUAUCAGCGACUCUCUUGAGAGAAGUCUGCAGACGGCAUCGCUUCAUUUCCUCAGAUAGAGCUGAAGAUCCUGCAGACAUGUUCUCAUGAAGAGAUUCAGACACAAACAGACGAUCCAUGGUGAGGUCAUGGAGGAAAUGUUGGACGUCUGGAGAAUCUGAAGCUGAUCUAUGAGUGAGAACAGUCAGAUAUAAGAUCUCUUUUAUUUCAGCGUUGUUUCUCUUGGAUAGCGAUGAGGUUUGAUGGAGAGCAAAUGAAAACGUCAGCAGCUUAACUCUCAUGCAUCUCUGAUGUUUCUCUUCAUUUUACAUUCAUUUUAUAUACAGUUAAUCUGCCCUUACGAAACUAAAAUAUGUGUAUAUAUGUGUACAUAACAAAUGACUCAUUAAUAUCUAUUUUUUAUUUUCUCAAGCAUUUUUUGGAGAAACUCCGUUGACAGAGUUGAUACUUUAAAAGAAGGUCACCUGCAGAAAGAACGAGAAACUUUGAUUUUUCCCUGUCUGUAUAUUUAAAUCACAGGUGAGAUGAGCGAUGAUCAUGUGUGAGAUGUGGAGUAAAGGUGAGCAGCUCAUCUCUCACUUCUAUCCCUCAGGGGAAAACUGUGUUAAAUCAGUGUUUACCCAUCACAACAGUAUCAAAAUAUACUCAACUGAAAACAAGCUGAAGAAAUGGGCGUUUAUUUGAACAAUCUUAAUCCCUCAGAGACUUUUCACCUCGAGAUUUAAUCCUUCUGACCUGUUUUAAUGCAAGUCCACUUGAUAUUUCCGCUCGAUUUUAAUCCACUCGGCAGAAAUCAAAGUUUCAAUGCACUCUCAGAAAACAACUAAAGCUGUCACUGGGACGUAUCCUUCAAAAAGAUCCUAAUAUCUACCAUUUAUAGAUACAGAUAUGUGACCCUGGACCACAAAAGCAGU